rnacentral:rRNA from 1 species
UUGGGAAUAUUGCACAAUGGAGGAAACUCUGAUGCAGCGACGCUGCGUGAAGGAUGAAGGCUUUCGGGUCGUAAACUUCUUUUGCCGGGGAGUAAUCAUGAAAGUACCCGGAGAAUAAGCACCGGCUAACUACGUGCCAGCAGCCGCGGUAAUACGUAGGGUGCGAGCGUUAUUCGGAUUUACUGGGCGUAAAGCGUGUGUAGGUGGUUUGUUGCGUCUCCGAUUAAAGACCCAAGCUCAACUUGGGGAGUGUUGGAGAUACGGGCAGACUAGAGGUUUGCAGGGGCAGACGGAAUUCCUGGUGUAGCAGUGAAAUGCGUAGAUAUCAGGAAGAACACCGAUGGCGAAAGCAGUCUGCUGGGCUUAUCCUAACACUGAGACACGAAAGCGUGGGGAGCGAACGG